GAUGAACGCUGGCGGCGUGCCUAAUACAUGCAAGUCGAACGCACAGCGAAAGGUGCUUGCACCUUUCAAGUGAGUGGCGAACGGGUGAGUAACACGUGGACAACCUGCCUCAAGGCUGGGGAUAACAUUUGGAAACAGAUGCUAAUACCGAAUAAAACUCAGUGUCGCAUGACACAAAGUUAAAAGGCGCUUUGGCGUCACCUAGAGAUGGAUCCGCGGUGCAUUAGUUAGUUGGUGGGGUAAAGGCCUACCAAGACAAUGAUGCAUAGCCGAGUUGAGAGGCUGAUCGGCCACAUUGGGACGGAGACACGGCCCAAACUCCUACGGGAGGCUGCAGUAGGGAAUCUUCCACAAUGGGCGAAAGCCUGAUGGAGCAACGCCGCGUGUGUGAUGAAGGCUUUCGGGUCGUAAAGCACUGUUGUAUGGGAAGAACAGCUAGAAUAGGGAAUGAUUUUAGUUUGACGGUACCAUACCAGAAAGGGACGGCUAAAUACGUGCCAGCAGCCGCGGUAA
rnacentral:rRNA from 1 species